UACGUAGGGUGCGAGCGUUUAAUCGGAAUUACUGGGCGUAAAGCGUGCGCAGGCGGUCUGUUAAGACCGAUGUGAAAUCCCCGGGCUUAACCUGGGAACUGCGUUUGAAACUGGAAGGCUUGAGUGUGGCAGAGGGGGGUGGAAUUCCACGUGUAGCAGUGAAAUGCGUAGAGAUGUGGAGGAACACCGAUGGCGAAGGCAGCCCCCUGGGCUAACACUGACGCUCAUGCACGAAAGCGUGGGGAGCAAACAGG
rnacentral:rRNA from 1 species